AUUCCAGCUCCAAUAGCGUAUAUUAAUGUUGUUGCAGUUAAAAAGCUCGUAGUUGGAUUUCUGGUUGGACCGCGAUGCCGGACUCGCAAGGGCUCGUGAUUGUUGUGGUUUCCUUCCAUCCUCAGGUUUGCGCGUGCUGGCCUUAACUGGUCGGUGGGUGUGGUCCUGUCGUUUACUGUGAACAAAUUAGAGUGUUCAAAGCAAGGUGUACUUGAAUACAUUAGCAUGGAAUAAUAAGAUAGGACUUUGGUGGUUCUUUUUGAUAUUUUGUUGGUUUGCACGCCAAAGUAAUGAUUAAUAGGAGCAGUUGGGGGUAUUCGUAUUCAAUUGUCAGAGGUGAAAUUCUUGGAUUUAUAGAAGACGAACUACUGCGAAAGCAUUUACCAAGGAUGUUUUCAUUG
rnacentral:rRNA from 1 species